GGGCUCAGCAGGAUUGCCAUAUGUGGAACUGGAAACAAGACUCUAUCUGGUUCUUCAACUGAUCCUUCAGCUGCAGCAGCCCUGAAAGGCUGACAGGAUGAAUUGCUUACUUCCCCGGCUCUCAUGUUUAUCUCCCUUUAGAUCUCACCAUCUGCUGUGAUUUGGCAACUCAGGAGUAGGAAGAUGACGCAGUGGGUGAGGGCACAUAUUCCCCACCCUGACUUCUUGAGUUUGAGUCUUCUGUCCCAGAACCCACAUGCUGGAAGAAGACAAGUGAGCCUGGAGGAGCUUUCCUGUGACCACACACACAUAUGCACUGGCACACAAGUGUACACACACAUACCAAUGUACAGAGGAGUG